GAGGAUGUUUUUCCGGAGGAAGUACCCGCUGGUCUACCUCCCUUGCGUGGCAUAGAACAUCAGAUUGACCUCAUUCCAGGAGCAUCACUUCCGAAUCGACCUCCCUACCGCACCAAUCCUGAAGAAACAAAGGAGAUACAAAGGCAGGUACAAGAACUUUUAGAUAAAGGUUAUGUGCGUGAAAGCUUAAGUCCUUGUGUUGUACCUGUGAUUUUGGUGCCCAAGAAAGAUGACACAUGGCGAUUGGUAAUGGAUUGUAGGCCUAUCAAUAUUAUAACUAUUAGGUAUCGUCAUCCUAUUCCUAGGUUAGAUGAUAUGCUUGAUGAAUUGAGUGGCUCUACUGUUUUCUCUAAAAUUGAUUUGAGGAGUGGAUACCAUCAGAUUAGGAUGAAAGAAGGAGAUGAAUGGAAAACUUCUUUCAAAACAAAAUUUGGGUUGUAUGAGUGGUUAGUCAUGCCUUUUGGAUUAACUAAUGCACCAAGUACAUUCAUGUGA
rnacentral:rRNA from 1 species